AACUGCGAAUGGCUCAUUAAAUCAGUUAUCGUUUAUUUGAUAGUACCCUACUACAUGGAUACCUGUGGUAAUUCUAGAGCUAAUACAUGCGCAAAACCCCGACUUCGGAAGGGGUGUAUUUAUUAGAUAAAAAACCAAUGCCCUUCGGGGCUCCUUGGUGAUUCAUAAUAACUUAACGAAUCGCAUGGCCUUGCGCCGGCGAUGGUUCAUUCAAAUUUCUGCCCUAUCAACUUUCGAUGGUAGGAUAGUGGCCUACCAUGGUGGCAACGGGUAACGGGGAAUUAGGGUUCGAUUCCGGAGAGGGAGCCUGAGAAACGGCUACCACAUCCAAGGAAGGCAGCAGGCGCGCAAAUUACCCAAUCCCGAUUCGGGGAGGUAGUGACAAUAAAUACUGAUAUAGGGCUCUUUUGGGUCUUAUAAUUGGAAUGAGUACAAUCUAAAUCCCUUAACGAGGAACAAUUGGAGGGCAAGUCUGGUGCCAGCAGCCGCGGUAAUUCCAGCUCCAAUAGCGUAUAUUAAAGUUGUUGCAGUUAAAAAGCUCGUAGUUGAACCUUGGGCCCGUCCUGCCGGUCCGCCUCACCGCGAGUACUGGUCCGGAUGGGCCUUUCUUUCUGGGGAAUCCCAUGGCCUUCACUGGCUGUGGCGGGGAACCAGGACUUUUACUGUGAAAAAAUUAGAGUGUUCAAAGCAGGCCUUUGCUCGGAUACAUUAGCAUGGAAUAAUAGAAUAGGACGUGCGGUUCUAUUUUGUUGGUUUCUAGGACCGCCGUAAUGAUUAAUAGGGAUAGUCGGGGGCGUCAGUAUUCAGCUGUCAGAGGUGAAAUUCUUGGAUUUGCUGAAGACUAACUACUGCGAAAGCAUUCGCCAAGGAUGUUUUCAUUAAUCAGGGAACGAAAGUUAGGGGAUCGAAGACGAUCAGAUACCGUCGUAGUCUUAACCAUAAACUAUGCCGACUAGGGAUCGGGCGGUGUUUCUAUGAUGACCCGCUCGGCACCUUACGAGAAAUCAAAGUUU
rnacentral:rRNA from 1 species